rnacentral:rRNA from 1 species
GACGAACGCUGGCGGCGUGCUUAACACAUGCAAGUCGAACGGAAAGGCCCUGCUUUUGUGGGGUGCUCGAGUGGCGAACGGGUGAAUAACACGUGAGUAACCUGCCCUUGACUUUGGGAUAACUUCAGGAAACUGGGGCUAAUACCGGAUAGGAGCUCCUGCUGCAUGGUGGGGGUUGGAAAGUUUCGGCGGUUGGGGAUGGACUCGCGGCUUAUCAGCUUGUUGGUGGGGUAGUGGCUUACCAAGGCUUUGACGGGUAGCCGGCCCGAGAGGGUGACCGGCCACAUUGGGACUGAGAUACGGCCCAGACUCCUACGGGAGGCAGCAGUGGGGUAUAUUGCACAAUGGGCGGAAGCCUGAUGCAGCAACGCCGCGUGCGGGAUGACGGCCUUCGGGUUGUAAACCGCUUUCGCCUGUGACGAAGCGUGAGUGACGGUAAUGGGUAAAGAAGCACCGGCUAACUACGUG